GCAGGUGUAGUUCAAUUGGUAGAAUAUCUGGUUUCCAUCCAGAUUGUUGAGGGUUCGAGUCCCUUCACCUGCUCCA
rnacentral:tRNA from 8 species